GACGAACGCUGGCGGCGUGCUUAACACAUGCAAGUCGAACGAAAAGGCCCUGCUUUUUUGUGCUGCUCGAGUUGCUAGCGGGUGAGUAACUCGUGCGUAACCUACCCUUGACUUUGGGAUAACUUCCAGAAACUGAGGCUUAUUCCUGCUACAAGCUCCUUCUCCAUGGUGUGGGUUGUAGAGUUUCGGCGGUUGCGGAUGGACUCGCGGCUUAUCAGCUUGUUGGUGGGGUAGUGGCUUACCAAGGCUUUGACGGGUAGCCGGACUGAGAGGGUGACCGGCCACAGAGGGACUGAGAUACGGCCAAGACUGAUACGGGAGGAAGGAGUGGGGAAUAUAGGAAAAUGGGCGGAAGCCGGAUGGAGGAACGCCGCGUGCGGGAGGACGGCCUUCGGGGUGGAAAGCGCUUCCGCCGGUGAGGAAGAGGGAGUGACGGUAAUGGGUAAAGAAGCAACGGCUAACUACGUG
rnacentral:rRNA from 1 species